ACUCAAAUGAAUUGACGGGGGCCCGCACAAGCAGCGGAGCGUGUGGUUUAAUUCGAUGCAACGCGAAGAACCUUACCUAGACUUGACAUGCUAAGGCAACGCCUGGAAACAGGCGCCUCCUUCGGGACCUUAGCACAGAUGUUGCAUGGCUGUCGUCAGCUCGUGUCGUGAGAUGUUGGGUUAAGUCCCGCAACGAGCGCAACCCUUGUGAUCUGUUGCAUUUCAGAUCAGACUGCCGGUACAAGCCGGAGGAAGGUGGGGAUGACGUCAAGUCCGCAUGGCUCUUACGUCUAGGGCUACACACACGCUACAAUGGCCGGGACAGAGGGCUGCCACACCGCGAGGUGGAGCGAAUCCCAAAACCCGGUCUCAGUUCGGAUAGCAGGCUGCAACUCGCCUGCUUGAAGUCGGAGUUGCUAGUAACCGCGUGUCAGCAUAGCGCGGUGAAUAUGUUCCCGGGCCUUGUACACACCGCCCGU
rnacentral:rRNA from 1 species